GACCUCCCCAGCCUCUGGGGUGGAAGUCUUUGCCUUGGGCUUCAGAAAUGUCUGAGAACACGGGAGUGAGCUCUUCAUCCAGGAUGAGUGACCGAAGCCUGGGGUUACACAGUCUCCAGAGGUCCUGAGGAGGUGCGCCUGAGGUGGUCAUGUUCCGGUUUGGUUGCACACAUUUCGAGGAGACAGGAAUUGCAGGACGUCCAGGUCGUAGCCAGGAAUUGACAUUUCGACAAGCCCCUACCUGAACCAGGUGACCACCUUGGUAGCAGACCCCAGGCAGGCAGGCAGGCAGGGAGUCCUCAGAUCCUCCCAACAGCCCUGCUAGCUAAGGAUGGUGAUCACACCUGCUGCAGAAGAGUGGACCGAGGCUUCAGAGGGGAAAGCAGUGACCAAAGAUCAGAUUGUGCCUCUCCAUCUCUUCCCAAAUAAUAAAUACAGGUAUUUAUUGUA